ACCACUCCAACAAGUUUCCAUGGGCCUCCGCUGCGCUUUUCACAGCAGUUUCAUCUUCAACAUCAUAUCUCACUGUCCACCCAUGAGCGACAUUGGGAAAUAUCUUCACAUGGCAGUCAACCUCAGAUUUAGCAGUUAGGACCUCUUCAAACUUUUUCACAAGUGCUGGUGGGGAAGUUUGGUCAAUCUCAGCUCCUAAUAUUGCAAUAGGAACCUCAACCGCCUUGAUAUCAUCUACCGUGACAAGUGAAGGAUGCAACAGCACAGCAGCUUGGAUAAACUCAUGUUUAGCUAGUUGAACCACCACCUUGGCACCCCAACAAAAG
rnacentral:misc_RNA from 1 species